rnacentral:rRNA from 1 species
GACGAACGCUGGCGGCGUGCUUAACACAUGCAAGUCGAACGGAAAGGCCCUGCUUUUGUGGGGUGCUCGAGUGGCGAACGGGUGAGUAACACGUGAGUAACCUGCCCUUGACUUUGGGAUAACUUCAGGAAACUGGGGCUAAUACCGGAUAGGAGCUCCUGCUGCAUGGUGGGGGUUGGAAAGUUUCGGCGGUUGGGGGUGGACUCGCGGCUUAUCAGCUUGUUGGUGGGGUAGUGGCUUACCAAGGCUUUGACGGGUAGCCGGCCUGCGAGGGUGACCGGCCACAUUGGGCCUGAGCUACUGCCCAGACUCCUACGGGAGGCAGCAGUGGGGAAUAUUGCACAAUGGGCGGAAGCCUGAUGCAGCAACGCCGCGUGCGGGAUGACGGCCUUCGGUUUGUAAACCGCUUUCGCCUGUGACGAAGCGUGAGUGACGGUAAUGGGUAAAGAAGCACCGGCUAACUACGUG